rnacentral:rRNA from 1 species
CCUACGGGAGGCAGCAGUGGGGGAUAUUGCACAAUGGGGGGAACCCUGAUGCAGCGACGCCGCGUGUGGGAAGACGGUCCUCUGGAUUGUAAACCACUGUCCCCAGGGACGAAAAUGACGGUACCUGGGGAGGAAGCUCCGGCUAACUACGUGCCAGCAGCCGCGGUAAUACGUAGGGAGCGAGCGGUGUCCGGAAGUACUGGGUGUAAAGGGAGCGUAGGCGGGGAUGCAAGUUGGGUGUCAAAACUACCGGCUAAACUGGUAGUCGCAUUCAAAACUGCACCUAUUGAGUGAAGUAGAGGCAGGCGGAAUUCCUAGUGUAGCGGUGAAAUGCGUAGAUAGUAGGAGGAACACCAGUGGCGAAGGCGGCCUGCUGGGCUUUUACUGACGCUGAGGCUCGAAAGUGUGGGGAGCAAACAGGAUUAGAUACCCCUGUAGUC